UGGCGGAUGGGCCUUUUGUGAUGAUGGAUAUUUUUGCUUUGCGUGACGGAGGCCUUUGGGUAUGGAUUUAGAGGGUUCCGAUGACCAGUGAUGAAUGUCACCGAGCGUUAAAAGGCAUUUGGACUGGAUCUGUGUUUUAACAGAGUACAAUAGGUUUUUUGUCAGAGCAAUGCAGGGAGAGGCUACGGCAUAGACGGUUCAGAAACACUCUUAACAAAAUGGGGGGAGGAGUACAGCUGCAGUCUUUCUGAGGUAUUACUUCGCAAGCCAUCACAGGAUUCUUGCCCAAUCAAACCAGCAUUGACGAGCAUGCAAAGAUCAAAAGAGGACCUGAGCACUAGGACCAUGCCUCAGGACUACCUGGCCUGAUGACUCCUUGCUGUCCCCCGUCCACCUGGUCGUGCUGCUGCUCCAGUUUCAACUGUUCUGCCUGCGGUUAUGGAACCCUGACCUGUUCACCGGACGUGCUACCUGUCCCAGACCUGCUGUUUUCAACUCUCUAGAGACAGCAGGAGCGGUAGAGAUGCUCUUAAUGAUCGGCUAUGAAAAGCCAACUGACAUUUACUCCUGAGGUGCUGACCUGGUACACCCUCGACAACCACUGUGAUUAUUAUUAUUUGACCCUGCUGGUCAUCUCUGAACAUUUGAUCAUCUUGGCCAUGUUCUGUUAUAAUCUCCACCCGGCACAGCCAGAAGAGGACUGGCCACCCCUCAGAACCUGCUUCCUCUCUAGGUUUCUUCCUAGGUUCUGGCCUUUCUAGGGAGUUUUUCCUAGCCACCGUGCUUCUACACCUGUAUUGCUUGCUGUUUGGGGUUUUAGGCUCGGUGUCUGUACAGCACUUUGUGACAUCAGCGUAUGUAAGAAGGGCUUUUUAAAUACAUUUGAUUGAUUGAUGGCCAUCUUAAAGCAUGUGGGGACAGCAGACUGGGAUAGGGAGAGAUUGAAUAUGUCCGUAAACACACCAGCCAGCUGGUCUGUGCAUGCUCUGAGGACUCAGCUAGGGAUGCCGUCUGCGCCGGCAGCCUUGCGAGGGUUAACACGUUUAAAUGUCUCUCUCAUCACAAUAGCUGCAGGACGUCCGGCCGAGCUGGACCCGCCCUCGCUGGGGAGUGAACCCUUUACGCAUUGCAGUGGAAGCCCAGCUAGGCAGACAGGCAGGCAGUCACACCUACUCCAGAGACCACAGAGUGCAGUUGAUUGACACUAAUAUCAAAGCAAACGUGCCCUCCUCCUCGGCUCUGCUCUACUUCAGGAAAAGCACAAAGAGUCAGAGAGAGAGGUGUCCUUCAGCUCUGCACAGAUGAGGGGAAUUGAACUAAGAAUAUCAUAGGCAGUGUGAUAGUACGAAAAUGAAUGCGUGCACUACUGUAAGUUGCUAUGGAUAAGGGCAUCUGCAAAAUGACUAAAAUGUAUUUGUGAAAUGUACAAUUGAUUCAUAUUUCUCAGAGUGCAAUGAUACUGAAAACACUACAGGCUCCCACAACAUUUUUCCACAAUGUCAAAUAUCCUUUACUGAUAAUCGG
ensembl:lncRNA